CCUACGGGGGGCAGCAGUGGGGAAUAUUGCGCAAUGGGCGAAAGCCUGACGCAGCGACGCCGCGUGAGGGAUGAAGGUCUUCGGAUCGUAAAGCUCUGUCAGCAGGGAAGAACGGUCACUGUGCUAAUCAGCAGUGAAUUGACGGUACCUGCAAAGGAAGCACCGGCUAACUCCGUGCCAGCAGCCGCGGUAAUACGGAGGGUGCGAGCGUUAAUCGGAAUUACUGGGCGUAAAGCGCUCGUAGGCGGUAUGUCAAGUCAGGGGUGAAAUCCCCGCGCUCAACCUGGGAACUGCCUUUGAAACUGGCAGACUAGAGUGUGUGAGAGGGUAGUGGAAUUCCAGGUGUAGCAGUGAAAUGCGUAGAUAUCUGGAGGAACACCGGUGGCGAAGGCGGCUCUCUGGAACAUAACUGACGCUGAGGAGCGAAAGCGUGGGUAGCAAACAGGAUUAGAUACCCUAGUAGUC
rnacentral:rRNA from 1 species